AAAUUGAAGAGUUUGAUCAUGGCUCAGAUUGAACGCUGGCGGCAGGCCUAACACAUGCAAGUCGAACGGUAGCACAGAGAGCUUGCUCUCGGGUGACGAGUGGCGGACGGGUGAGUAAUGUCUGGGAAACUGCCUGAUGGAGGGGGAUAACUACUGGAAACGGUAGCUAAUACCGC
rnacentral:rRNA from 1 species